CCCCCUUUUUUGUAGAUGUGUAGUAUUAGAUGGUGGGCUCAAGCUUGAAGCCAUCAAAUUGAAGAGGUGGAGGUGGAAGGGUGUCUGGUUGGUGUACUACAACCCUCCUUGCUGGCUGUGGAUGCUGGGAGGAGACAGGACUGCCUUAUGAAGCCAAGUCAACCAGUGAUACAUGCACACUUGUAUCCUGGUGAUAAUUGGAGAGAUGUCUGCCAAUAAGUCUUUUGUGCAAUAUGAGGACAUCUGAAUAAGCAGCUCCCCCUACAGCCUCCUGUAAGCACCUCCCGACAGUACCACAGUCCCACUCGUGGAUGAGAGUUGAAACAACAAUUAAGUAGAACAAAGGAAGCUUUUAUCAGAAAAAAGUACAUUUGGGAUGUGUCCACUUAUUAAAGGCACUUUUUUCUUGUUUAAAAACAAAAGUGAGAAAUAAACUAAUGCAGGUAAAACAGAAAUAUUUCCUGGAUUUUUGCUUCUGUGGUAGUGAGGUGCAGCAGGGUGUGUACUGAUGAGGGCAGCCUGGCUCCUUCAUUUAAAUCUGGUCAAACUUUGAGGUCAUAUUGUGAGUUGCUAACCUCUGGAUUAGCUCGCAUGUCAUCGCACUGAAGAUCUCAACAACCUUAACCUUAGUCUCAGUGUUUUCAUCCUGAAUUGAUUGAAUAAAAAUGGCAGUUUUAUAAAAGUUACACAUCCCUAUUUUUGCCGUUUCCCGUCUUGGCUGCUUCAGUCAUGUUGGAAAUAUCACAUCCACUAGCAAGCUGACUCUGAGGGAGACCAUCAGCCUCAGCAGUGUAGGGGAGAAAGGUGCACGUGGAAUACACAUUACGGUAUUCUACCAAUUAUGUAAGUGUUAAGAAAAAAUGAUAUCUCUAUGUUUUGAUAAUAGUUUUCAAUAUCUAAUAUUUGAGAUAAUUCUGAUCUUUUUGUCAUUAAUCUCUUGGAUGAGCCCCCAACUGUGCAUGGCCCCCUGGGCAAGUGUCCAGCAUGCCCUUUGGAUGAUCCAGCCCAGCCUGGAUAGCAAACAAAAGUGAUUGUCUGUU
ensembl:lncRNA